UGCGGAAGGAUCAUUAAAGAGUAAGGGUGCUCAGCGCCCGACCUCCAACCCUUUGUUGUUAAAACUACCUUGUUGCUUUGGCGGGACCGCUCGGUUCCGAGCCGCUGGGGAUUCGUCCCAGGCGAGUGCCCGCCAGAGUUAAACCAAACUCUUGUUAUUAAACCGGUCGUCUGAGUUAAAAUUUUGAAUAUAUCAAAACUUUCAACAACGGAUCUCUUGGUUCUCGCAUCGAUGAAGAACGCAGCGAAAUGCGAUAAGUAAUGUGAAUUGCAGAAUUCAGUGAAUCAUCGAAUCUUUGAACGCACAUUGCGCCCCUUGGUAUUCCGAGGGGCAUGCCUGUUCGAGCGUCAUUACACCACUCAAGCUAUGCUUGGUAUUGGGUGCCGUCCUUAGUUGGGCGCGCCUUAAAGACCUCGGCGAGGCCACUCCGGCUUUAGGCGUAGUAGAAUUUAUUCGAACGUCUGUCAAAGGAGAGGAACUCUGCCGAUUGAAACCUUUAUUUUUCUAGGUUGACCUCGGAUCAGGUAGGGAUACCCGCUGAACUUAA
rnacentral:misc_RNA from 1 species